rnacentral:misc_RNA from 1 species
ACAGAAGCUUUGGCGGUCCAAUUUUCCGCCAAGAAAUUGCGAGGAUCGCGAGCGAUGUGAGCUUUGAGAGCAAGAAGGGCAUAUUGGUCGGUGGUUGUGUUCGUUCUCGAAUGAAAAUCUGGGGUGAUAUUGGUUCUUGUUACAGUCAAGCAGGCCAAAAUAUGAAGCACCGUGAAAGAUAUGGAAAGUCCAGGUCUGAAAACCUAUGAUCGAAAGAUCCAAACUUAUCACUCAUUGAUGUCGAGCACCGAUAUUACGUGUAGCAUGAACAAGGAGAA